UGGUGGAGUGAUUUGUCUGGUUAAUUCCGUUAACGAACGAGACCGCCGCCUGCUAAAUAGUUCCGCGAAUGAAUUUCAUUGGCGAGAGCUUCUUAGAGGGACGUUCGUUCUACAAGACGAAGGAAGAUGGCGGCAAUAACA
rnacentral:rRNA from 1 species